GGUCAGCUGACACAUCCCUGCCAAUCUCCGGCAUACCCUCCCUCCCAGACCCUCCCACCUCCUGAACAGCAUCCAUGUUGAAGCUGCCUUCAACAUGGAUGCUGUCCAGGAAGUAGGAGGGUCUGGGAGGGAGGGUCUGCCAGAGAUUGGCAGGGAUGUGUCAGCUG
rnacentral:miRNA from 1 species